rnacentral:rRNA from 1 species
ACGGGAGGCAGCAGUGGGGAAUAUUGGGCAAUGGGGGAAACCCUGACCCAGCAACGCCGCGUGAAGGAAGAAGGCCUUCGGGUUGUAAACUUCUUUUACCAGGGACGAAUAAUGACGGUACCUGGAGAAAAAGCAACGGCUAACUACGUGCCAGCAGCCGCGGUAAUACGUAGGUGGCAAGCGUUGUCCGGAUUUACUGGGUGUAAAGGGCGUGUAGCCGGGUCGAUAAGUCAGAUGUGAAAUCCACGGGCUCAACUCGUGAACUGCAUUUGAAACUGUUGAUCUUGAGUAUCGGAGAGGUAAUCGGAAUUCCUUGUGUAGCGGUGAAAUGCGUAGAUAUAAGGAAGAACACCAGUGGCGAAGGCGGAUUACUGGACGACAACUGACGGUGAGGCGCGAAAGCGUGGGGAGCGAACAGGAUUAGAUACCCUGGUA